GACUUUAGUAAGCCACCUAAACCUUAAGAGACAUCUUGAAUCUUCCAUCCUAUGUUCGGCCAAGACACUUUGAUGACCAACACUUCACCUUUUGAAAGCACAAGUUGAAUGCUCCACUCCAUGCGCAAGGAAAACUAUCACCCAAGACUGAAUAUUGCUCAUAUUAACUCAGAGCAUAACACUACCAUUCUGCACCCUCCAUCAACUGUCCAUCAAGUCGAAGGCUUGCAGGCUCCUUCCUCCUCCCUAUUCCCCACAAACCGUGAGCUACAUAAGAGGACAACGACCAUCCAAGUUUUCAUUCUUUCCCUGCAUGGUUUGGAUGAUUGGCAGCAGCCAAGGAGAGCACACCAUGAGUUCAUCCUUCAUACGUUUCUUGUUUGGCCGCGUGUUAUAUAAUUGUAGAAAUUUUCCUUACUCACUUGUCACCCUUCUUUCUUCGGUCUGAUGAGGAGAUUCAUUGCAUGCAGAUUACUCCCUUGGUUUUUAAUAGAACUCCCUUGCAUGCAGCGUCAAACCCAACAACAACAAGAAAGAGCAGCAUCUUUGAGUUCUGACUCAAUUUCCUUCGCCCACAAGAACAAUGAGAAUGUGAGGUGCUGCCCCUUUUUGGUUGAUACUCAUGGACUGAUUUGAAAGCAGGUUGGGAACGUAUAAAAGGUGUGCUAACUUCGAAAAGAGUGGGCUGAUUGUUGGUGUUUUGAUUAAAAAGGGUUAAAGACUCGAGGAAGACGUAAAAGCAUUUGACGAAGUAUUUGAUUUGGACAUGUUCUGUUUAUUUGCUGCUCCUAUUUUGGAAAUUUUGAUGUGACAUGCUGUUUCUGUUGAUUGUUAGCUGAUCACUCUAGUAUGUUGUACUAUUUUGAGAUGCUGGAAGAAAAUGAUAGAACAUGCCUCAAUUUGUUGUAUUUGGAUUCUUAUGGUUAGUUGUAAAUUGUAAGGUUCUGGUCAUAUUUCGCAAAA